CUUUAUGAAUUCAUAAUCUAAAUGUUAUGUUAUCAUUCCUCAAAGGGACAAACAAUGGAUUCAAGUGUCAAGUCUUCAGAAUGUUGAUCGAAUACUAUGAAAAAACUGUCGAUCCCGUCCCUAGUGCAGGUACAGCAAUACUUUGCGGCUCCUAUGUUUUGAUUGGUAAAUUUUGCGUACGUCACCGGAGUGCCAGAAAAGUACCUGUACAGCAACGCCAACAGACCAGCCCCAACUAUAACUCCCGCAGCUAUGGGGAUCCAAUCUGAACGACUGCUCAUCACUUGUUCCAGAUAACAAAACAGAAUAGCAAAUGAGUUACAAUUUCAUCAUACUACUAUUAGUUAAGAGAUUUUCUUUAGUAACGAAAUUCUUUUUGUUAUUGUCUAAUAGACAGUGUCAGUGUCAGUAACAUGGACAGCACAGAUUAAAAAUAAGAUGAUUAAACUAUUUAGAAGAAUUUGGGAAUGGAUGAUUUGGAUACAAUAAGGUUAGCAUAAAAAGUGUACUAUUUUUUAUAUAAAAUCAUUUAUUUUUCCAAUAUAUUUAACCUAGUCAUGUAACAUGUAAGUAAAUAUUAAGGAGUAAUAUAUAGCUCCUGCAGCAUAUUUAAAAAUUAAUAAGUCACUUUUAAUCAAUACACAUUUAACAUGUAAUACAUUUUCAUAGAAAGUGUUUGUAUUCAUUGUACUCGGAAUUACUUAGGAGAUACUUAGCAACACUCUUGUAGUCACUUUUCAUAACCCCCAACAGGUUUGAUACUUUUACAGAAUAAUCUUUAAGAAUGUUGUUAUGUAUGUGUCCAAUUAAAUUAUAG